ACACAAAUAAACAUUUAAAAAUAAGUCAGCCUGUCCUAGCUCCAGAGCCUGAAAAGGUGAACCCACUGGGGCUGGCUGGGGGAAAAGAGGAAAUUUUGUUCCAGAAGGAACUGUCUGAGGGAU
ensembl:snoRNA LOC120101999 small nucleolar RNA SNORD22